GAUGAACGCUGGCGGCGUGCCUAACACAUGCAAGUCGAACGAAGCGCCUUACCGGAUUCUUCGGAUGAAGGUCUGGUGACUGAGUGGCGGACGGGUGAGUAACGCGUGGGUAACCUGCCCUGUACAGGGGGAUAACAGCUGGAACCGGCUGCUAAUACCGCAUAAGCGCACGAGGAGACAUCUCCUUGUGUGAAAAACUCCGGUGGUACAGGAUGGGCCCGCGUCUGAUUAGCUGGUUGGCAGGGUAACGGCCUACCAAGGCAACGAUCAGUAGCCGGUCUGGGAGGAUGAACGGCCACAUUGGAACUGAGACACGGUCCAAACUCCUACGGGAGGCAGCAGUGGGGAAUAUUGCACAAUGGGGGAAAACCUGAUGCAGCAACGCCGCGUGAGUGAAGAAGUAUUUCGGUAUGUAAAGCUCUAUCAGCAGGGAAGAUAAUGACGGUACCUGACUAAGAAGCUCCGGCUAAAUACGUG
rnacentral:rRNA from 1 species